UACGUAGGGUGCGAGCGUUGUCCGGAAUUAUUGGGCGUAAAGAGCUUGUAGGUGGUUUGUCGCGUCUGCUGUGAAAAUCCGAGGCUCAACCUCGGACUUGCAGUGGGUACGGGCAGACUAGAGUGUGGUAGGGGAGACUGGAAUUCCUGGUGUAGCGGUGGAAUGCGCAGAUAUCAGGAGGAACACCGGUGGCGAAGGCGGAUCUCUGGGCCUGUCCUGACGCUGAGGCGCGAAGGCCAGGGGAGCAAACGGG
rnacentral:rRNA from 1 species